rfam:Punica granatum cultivar Dabenzi scaffold360, whole genome shotgun sequence.
AGGCUGUGACGACUCCAAACAUUUCUCGAUGCUGAGAGUAUGUUGAACCAUACGGACCGGUGCGCGUAUACGUAUUCUGUACGUAUAUGUCUGCUCUUGUGAUGACUGCGUUUGUGCGUGUCUGAGCCUC